rnacentral:tRNA from 1 species
GGCCUGCGGCUCAAUGGUUAGAGCUUUGGACUUCUGAUCCACAGGUGGCGGGUUUGAGCCUCGCGUGGGGCA